AACUUGUAUGGGGCAGGCCCUGAGGAAGAGAGCUGUGCGAGCAGGGCAGAUGAGUUCUGUGUACUAAUGAUGUUCUUUGCAAGUCUUUCAGAGGGUGAAGUAGUUCUUGGAAACAGGCUUCUUACUCUUGGAGCAGGCUAUUUCUCUUGGAAGACUUUACACACCUCUUAUACCGUUGGGUCAUGAUGAUCCGGGACAGACAACAGGACAACCUUAUGCCAAUCAACUGGGAAAAUGUGGUUGUAAACAGCAUUCCAAUGAUGACUGCCAUGUUUGCCUCAAAGAAACCUAUCAUCAGAUCAUAGCAACCUCUCUUGUUAACUUUGGUGGCAGCUGUGGUCAGAUUGUGUAGAUCCGGGGGAUUACAGUCAGUUUCAUCCUUGCAGCAACUCUGGGGGAUACCAUGAUUCAGGAAGUAGGGGUUGUCGUUCCAGUCUUUGUAGUUCUUCACACCACAGCACAUCAGACCAUACUGCACCUGGUCCACUGCCUGACUCUUCUUAUCAUUGCCGUUAUAGUUCUGUAUAGCAUUGGUAUAAAUCUUCAGGAAUCUGUCCUUGAUCUCACGAUGAAGCAGAAGCCCUGAGAUGCUAGCAACAAGCUCAAUCAGGAACACCAGUGACAGAAACAGAGAAUACAACUUCAGCAUCCAUGGGCUACCUCUGCAUGAAGCAAAGCAUCCGAAUAAACCGAAAAUGAUAAUCAUGGUACCAAUUCCAAUGAGCACAAAGGGAAUGUCUGCAAUAUUCUUGGCAAGAAGAGAGAGAUACGUGCC